AAUAGGGGAUUAUCACGCUUCCUGGUUCCGGUGGCGGGAUUUGUCUUCGUUGUGCAUGAACACUUCCGGCGCACUUCCACCAUGGCUGAAACAAAGGCGAGAUGUCACUGCUCUCUGUUCCACUUUGUACAUCUAACAAACAACACCAACCCUACUUAAGUUUUCAUGGAUUCCCGACUGAAAUGAGUCUAAGGAAGAAGUGGAUUCAAGCGGUUCGCCGGGAUGAAGGGCCAAACUUUAAAAUAAAACAAGGUAGCAUGUUUGUUUGUAGCCGGCACUUUAGUGAAUCAGACUACAAACGCUACAGCUAGCAACCAACCGGGGUCACACCAAGCGACUGAAAACCGGGUCUGUACCCUCCCGUUUCCAGUGGAACAACUGGGGACUGCCAAGAAGGGGGUCUGUUUAUAAAAGAGCAUCAACUCGCUUAGGCCAUGACGUUCACCCAUCCCUUCCCCUGGAGCAACCGCUGCCCUGUGAAUAAGAGCCGAUGGAGGAGAUCUCAGCUUCGGUGGUGAUGACAGAACAUGAUUUCGGUUCUGCUCCUAAACCAGGUGCACUGGAUGCUGCUGCUGUAAACAUACAGCAAUUGGAAGAAACAGUCAAGGAGCUGAUGAGAGCUGUCACAGCUGAAAGUGGUUCAAGUGCAUUUUCACAGAUUCUGUGUCUCAGACGCGGACAUCCUUUUUUACACCAGAUUCACGUCAAGAGAAGUUUUUUGUGACUUCUGGGAGGUUAUUCAACCAUCUGCCUCCAUGUUGGUUUAUUGGUCGAAAGCUCAGAAAAAGAAACAAACAUUUGAACCCAUUUCUCCCAGUCCAACGUGUAGACUGCAACUGGUUGAGUUUUUUCUCUUCUGCUGCCGGGUUGCUGCAGGCCUGCAAGAGAAGGUGCUGGCUGACAUGUUUCAGGUCAGUGUGUCCACUGUCUACCAUGUUGUUAUACCGUGGGCCAACUACCGUUACCUGCUCCUUGGCUCCCUCCCCAUCUGGAUGAGUAAACUGCAAGUCAAGAACACCAUGCCAAGAUAAUUUGUGCAGUACAGUCCAGAUGUUCAGAGCUGACUGAACGAAGUGGACUGCUGGAUUUACUGGAGCCAGGAGAUGGCUGCAUGGCAGACAAGGGUUUCACCAUCGAGAAGCCACUAGCUGAUCGUGGGGCAACGCUGAUUAUACCACCCUUCAAGAUGACAGUUCACUGAAGAGGAUGCUCUGAAAACACAAGCAAUCGCUCGACUUCUAAUCCUCGUAGAAAGAGCAAUAGGCAGAGUCAAGGAAUACCGCAUCUGGGAACACACUGUCCUUUCACCUUGUCUGCGACAGUCAAUCAGCUGUGGACCGUCUGCUGUGUGAUGACCAACUUCCAGGGACCACUUGAUUUAAAAGGCUACAUCCCUGUUGAAUAGUGUUUCUACUCAAACAUGUACCUAUAAAUAUUAAAUAUAAUAUAUAAAUAUUAAAACGAGAGGCACUGAUUUGGAUUGGUCCCUUCAUUUUUUCCGGAGCUGUAAUUUUGUACACUGAAAACAUUGUAUAUAUUGAAUGACAUGUAAUGUAAUUGAAUGAGAAGUCUUUCAUCUAUAAUCAAUUUUAAAGUCCAGUCAGUCCAUCCUGAAAGUAUUCAAAAUUAUGUUAAUAUAUAAUGUAGUAAAUGAUGUACUCAGAAAAAGAGAAUGAAUUAAAUCCUUUUAUUCUUUCAGUUCCUUUAUUCAUUCAGUUCAUUUCACAUUCAUUUCACUUUCUGCUGAAGAUACACAUUCAUAUAUGUACCAAAGAAGUACAAGUCUACCUUAUUUUUCAUCUCUUAUCAUUUCAUCCCUCCAGACUGAGCUGACGCCAAACCGACGUUAGCAUAAGCCAACCUACCUAGCGUAAGCUAGCUAGCAGACACUCGCAUUCGUAGUCGUUAUAUUUCUCGAAAAAUAAACAAUCCCUUGUCCAGUUUGGAGCGGGCUGUUAUGGAGUGUUGUUCGGUAAGUCUGUGAACUUCAGAAAACGUGACUUUGGGUACAUUUACCAGGGAUGUCGUGAAAGUGAACUGCCGGUCCUCCAUCAUCAGUUCGCCAGAGUGAUGAGUGGUUCACCGGAUGUCACAGUGCACAAUGAACACCGAAUGCGGAAGUACUACGUAUCAGCGUGAUA